rnacentral:rRNA from 1 species
GAUGAACGCUAGCGGCAGGCUUAAUACAUGCAAGUCGAGGGGCAGCGCGGGUAGCAAUACUUGGUGGCGACCGGCGCACGGGUGCGUAACACGUAUACAAUCUACCUAUAACAGGGGGAUAGCCUUUCGAAAGAGAGAUUAAUACCCCGUAACACACGAAACGGCAUCGUUUUUUGUUGAAAGUUCCGACGGUUAUAGAUGAGUAUGCGUCUGAUUAGCUAGUUGGUAGUGUAAUGGACUACCAAGGCGACGAUCAGUAGGGGAUCUGAGAGGACUACCCCCCACACUGGUACUGAGACACGGACCAGACUCCUACGGGAGGCAGCAGUAAGGAAUAUUGGACAAUGGUGGCAACACUGAUCCAGCCAUGCCGCGUGCAGGAAGACGGCCCUAUGGGUUGUAAACUGCUUUUGUACCAGAGAAAACCUAUCUACGUGUAGAUAGCUGAUAGUAUGGUAAGAAUAAGCAUCGGCUAACUUCGUGCCAGCCGCCGCAGUAACAC